rfam:Oryza nivara chromosome 7, whole genome shotgun sequence.
AAAAAGACAAACACUGGGUUUCCGUGUCCAACUUUAACUGUCCGUCUUAUAUGAAAUUUUUUUAUAAUUCGUAUUUUUAUUGUUGUUAGAUGAAAAAACAUGAUUAAUAUUUUAUGUGUGACUUGUCUUUUUAAUUUUUUUUAUAAUUUUUUCAAAUAAGACGGACGGUCAAACGUUGGACACGAAAAUCAGGGUUUAUCUUUUU